rnacentral:lncRNA from 1 species
CCAUUCCGGAUGGGAGGUGGUUUUGGGAUGACUGAGAAGGAUCCUGUCUGAGUAAAGGUCUGGAGGAGAAUCAGCCCCAAACCCAGGCCUAGAACUGGGGCCCCUAAUACCAAUUUCUGCUUCUGUCUAAAUAGGAUUUUUAAACGUAGAGGUUGAUAGGAUAAAGGGGCUUCAGAAAGUGUUUUACACUUUCCUACCUUCACCCAAUUCAGGAGGCCACAGUUUCUGGACUGGGAAGAUGUCUGUGACGCUCAGUCAAUAUCAGUGUGGAAGUGUAUCUCCCCAGCUUCCAAAUGCCACCAUGGAAACAUUUGUAUGCCUACUGAUUCCAUAGCUUGGUCUUGGUAACAGCUUAGGAUAUUUCUAGUUCUCUCAAAGCAUCUAAAAGAGAGAAAAGUCUCCAAGGGAGAAGAGUGUGAACUCUGCCUCAGCGUGGCAGGUUGAGAAGUUGUCAGGGAGCACCUUGGAGCCCAGUAGAGGCCCUGACUGGUGCACCUCUGAAAAGACUGCGGGCACAGUGCUGCACCUCCCCAGGGCUCCCUCAGCAGAGGCAGGUGUGCUCUGUCCCCAUCAUGGCCCUGUGUGCUUCUCCACAGACAAAGACCCCUACAGUUUUGGAAGGACAACCAUAGCAAACCUGGAGACCCACAAUGACCUGCUCUGGCUGCAUGCUGUCUUUGCUGUCAUCUACCUCUCCCUCACUGUGGGCUUCAUGCGGCACCACACCCAGUCCAUCAAGUACACAGAGGAGACCCUGGUGAGUGGGGACAGGGCUUUGGGGCCACAAGCUCGGUGGGGCCUCAAGCCUGGUUUGCAUAUUGGGCCUCGCUUGGCAUCAUCUUUGCGUCUUAGUCUCCUGGUGGAUUGUUCAAGUGUUGGACCUUUGCCCCCAUUCUGCCAGCUCACUCUUUGAUCUGUGGGCUUGGGCUGGAUGGAGUGAGACCAAGGAGAGAAGUUUGGGCGGCGGGGGCUUGGGUCAGCUUGGAGGUGCAGUACUUGACCAAUGUGUCCGGCCUUGGAUCUGUGCCCCAGGACAGCAGAACAGAAGGAACACAGAGGCGGAGGGCAGCCCUUCUUUCUGCGUCAUGGCUUCAGCCCAGGUCUCCUCUGCUCUGCUGUGUGGCCCAUUUGAGUCGCUCUCCCUCUCUGGGUUUUCCCUCAGCUCCUGUCCUGCCAAGGAUGCUCGUACAGUUGCUUUGGAGAUGGGUCCUUUAUAGCUGGCAAGGACUGUAAAUACA